CUCCGGUUGAUCCUGCCGGACCCGACUGCUAUCAGAGUGGGACUAAGCCAUGCGAGUCAACAUAGCAAUAUGUGGCAUACGGCUCAGUAACACGUAGUCAACAUGCCCAGGGGACGUGGAUAACCUCGGGAAACUGAGGAUAAACCUCGAUAGGCCAUGAUUUCUGGAAUGAUUCUUGGCUCAAACCUAUAUGGCCCCUGGAUUGGACUGCGGCCGAUCAGGCUGUUGGUGAGGUAAUGGCCCACCAAACCUAUUACCGGUACGGGCUCUGAGAGGAGGAGCCCGGAGAUGGGCACUGAGACAAGGGCCCAGGCCCUAUGGGGCGCAGCAGGCGCGAAACCUCUGCAAUAGGCGAAAGCUUGACAGGGUUACUCUGAGUGAUUUCCGCUAAGGGAAUCUUUUGGCACCUCUAAAAAUGGUGCAGAAUAAGGGGUGGGCAAGUCUGGUGUCAGCCGCCGCGGUAAUACCAGCACCCCGAGUGGUCGGGACGAUUAUUGGGCCUAAAGCAUCCGUAGCCGGUCCUGCAAGUCUUCCGUUAAAUCCAGCUGCUCAACAGAUGGGCUGCGGGAGAUACUACAGGGCUAGGAGGCGGGAGAGGCAAGCGGUACUUUAUGGGUAGGGGUAAAAUCCGUUGAUCCAUUGAAGACCACCAGUGGCGAAGGCGGCUUGCCAGAACGCGCUCGACGGUGAGGGAUGAAAGCUGGGGGAGCAAACCGGAUUAGAUACCCGGGUAGUCCCAGCUGUAAACGAUGCAGACUCGGUGAUGGGUUGGCCUCGCGCCUGCCCAGUGCCGCAGGGAAGCCGUUAAGUCUGCCGCCUGGGGAGUACGGUCGCAAGACUGAAACUUAAAGGAAUUGGCGGGGGAGCA
rnacentral:rRNA from 1 species